GUCAGGUCCAUGUGGUUCGGGGUGGAUACGGAACGGGUCUGAAAAUUGUAGAACACAAACAGGACGGGGCGGGUCCAAAAGUCCCAAGAAACAGGGCCCCGCCGGAACCAUUUCUCCCAAUCCCACUCAGUUUCCCGGUCCAAAAGUCCAAACCCUCUUCUUCUCCAUCCCAAAAGACCCACGACCCAUACUCCAUUAAGGACAAGAAGAUUGGAGCAAGCUGCCGGCCGACAAGAAGAAGAUCGAGUACUCAAUCGAGAGACUGCCAUCCAGUGGUUGGACGACAACCAGUUGUCAGAUGCCAAUGAGUUCGAAGACAAAUGGAGUUGGAGAGCAUCUGCAACCCAAUCACAAGGUGAACCUGGUAGCUGUUGGCGAUGGUGCCGGCUAAUUGAUGAUGAUGCUCUUCCAGUGCCAGCGACCCAGGUCCCAAGAUCGACGAGGUCGACUAAGUUUCUGCUGCAAGGGUUUUUAUUGGGAUUAUUUAGGUUUUGUGAACUUGAAAUUUUAUGUUUUAUUUGGGACUUGAAAUUAUAUUCAAUGAUUUUUUUUUUUUUUUU